UAUUAUUAUUAUUUUUUUUACAAAUGGGCCAGUAAGCUACAAAAUCAAGGUUUCGUGGUUUGAAAGAGAUUCACUCAAAGAGUUUUUUUUUUUUUUUUUUUUUUUAACAUUACAAAUCUCAAUAAAAAUAAAUUAUUUUAUAG
rnacentral:ribozyme from 12 species